GGCUUAGCAGGUUCCAGCGUAGUCCGAUGCUAUAGGAGGCUGCCGGACUCAAAAUCCGGUUCCGAAAGGAGUGCCGGUUCGAUUCCGGCCCGAGGCACCA
rnacentral:tRNA from 1 species